UAUAAGUUUUCCUUAAGUAUACGACUAAAAGCAUUAAAAUGACAUGUAUCAAUUCGAUGGUUGAUCUGAAACCUCUCAAAACCAUAUAGAAGAUAAAGUUCGAAAUAAUUUAACUGUCAAAACAAUACUGUUCAGUUUUUUCAAGAAUGUGUUCGAUGAAAAAAAUAUGGUUUUGUGCCAUAAUUUGUUUAAUGUUCAAUCCGAUCAACUCAUGAUAUAUUAAUUAUAGUUUUGUUCCAUAUUUUUUAAUAAAAAUUGAUCUGAUCCAUCGGAAAGAAGUUAUAUAAUAACAACAAAAAAUAUUGUAUAUGUAUAAAUAAAAUGAUCAAAUAUAUAAAAGAAAUUAUCGAUAAUAUAUACAAAUAAACUCAAUCUGCGCAAGGCGCAGGUCUUAUCCUAGUAUCUUCUUAUAUCAACUAGUGUUCUCUCUCUCCAGAGAGAGACACGUCAGAUUCCACAUAGGAAAGUCGAGUUACCCCAGCGCGACACCUAUCACGGAAGAUCGAAACGCCCAGUCACGUCAGAUUCCACGUAGGAAAGUCAUUUAAAAUUGAUACUGAGUUAAUGAUAUUUGGGCCCAAAACCAGAAAAAUAGGCCCAUAAUGCCUUCAUCUUCUUCCCAACAUACAAUUUGGGGUUAAUCGGCGGUUCUGAUAUUGUCUAAGACUCGAUGAUUCAUCGUUAAUCUUCCCGUCGGACUCUGAUCAUGUCGUUUUAGUCUCCCUGAUUCACCUCAGAACCGUUACAAGUCGCAUUGAUUCAAAUCAUUAACCAAAACUUAACUCUUCCUUCUCAUUACAACCACGAUCUCGAAUUCAAUGAGUCUUAUCCAUCUUGCAGGCGGCGAUUCUCCCCUAUAAAAAAGGUGGAGGUGUGGCUGGCUGCCGUAGAGUUUUCAAAUAUGGUUUACAAAUUUUUAUUUGUAAUCUGGUUAAAUUAAGGGACGUUAAGAGGGGGAAAUCCGCGAAAGGUGGAGGAAUCUUCCCAUUGAGGAGUAUUGUAGCUUGAAGAAUCACACGAAAAUGAAGAUUUUUUUAAUCAAAGAGAUGGUCAUGAGGAGAUGCAAGAGGAAGAACAUGAAGAGAGACUGGGAGGCGGUGGUCUUCCUCUCCACAAUUUUGGUAACUUGAAGUCAAAUAACGGUCACAAAAAUGCUUUCAUAAGAGACUCUUACUACAUAGUUGUUAGCUACUCUUUUCUGAUGCGAGGAUUGGGAGGAACCCUUGCUUUAAGAUGAUGAUAUAAUUGCUACAGUGUGUAUGUAGUAAUUUGUUAUGUAUAUAAUAUGUGUAUGUAGUAUGUAAGAUGAUUAGAAGAAAAUAGAGCAUAUCCUAAUUAGUAA